rnacentral:siRNA from 1 species
GUAGCCACUCAAAGAAAUUAGCCA